UACGAAGGGGGCUAGCGUUGCUCGGAAUUACUGGGCGUAAAGCGCACGUAGGCGGUCUUUUAAGUCGGGGGUGAAAUCCAUGGAGCUCAACUCCAGAACUGCCCUUCGAUACUGGAAGACUUGAGUCCGGAGAGGUGAGUGGAACUGCGAGUGUAGAGGUGAAAUUCGUAGAUAUUCGCAAGAACACCAGUGGCGAAGGCGGCUCACUGGCCCGGUACUGACGCUGAGGUGCGGAAAGCGUGGGGAGCAAACA
rnacentral:rRNA from 1 species